rnacentral:misc_RNA from 1 species
ACUNACUCUUCAUGGCGGGCUCCCUGCGCUUUGGUGCGGCUAACCGUCAUGGGGUAGUCUUUUCACUCUCCCUCCUGCAAAUACAUAUUUGUUGGGUUGGGAUGAUGUUGUUGGUUGCCUGCGCUGUUCUACCAAUGUUGGUAGUAAUACUAGACCCUAUAUAUUGUAUUAUAGCUCUCCUGUUGAUAGCGUUAUGUUGGCAGGGCAGCUGAGGUAUCGACAAAAAUUCCUUCUAUUGCUAUGGUUGAAUGUAACAUCCAAGGCAUUGAAAUGGAAUGUUUGUCGGGUCUCAUGGAUGUUGUCCCUAUUUUGUGAGCUCUGUUGGUUCCAUGAUCCUCAGGCUUGGUGAUGGCCCCAUGUAUGCAUGUAUCAGUACCCCCUCAAUUAAAGUGUUUUACUUGUAUUGAAGCGUGCGGGAACGUUCAUGUGCAUGUGGAAUGGCUAUCUUAUUCGAAUGACCCUUGAUUGCCGGUUCAUGCUGUUAGAAAAUACUUCCCGUUUCGGUUGAGGUUUCUUGCAGCUUGUGUCGGCUUUCGUUUAAGAUGUGC